GCCGGGAUGGUCUAGUGGUUAUGACGUCUGCCUUACACGCAGAAAAUCGCGAGUUCAAUCCUCGCUCCUGGUA
rnacentral:tRNA from 1 species